AAAGAUUCAUCGCUGAUAGAUAGGCAUGCGUUCCAUUAGGCAGUUGGCGGGGUAACGGCCCACCAAACCGACGAUGGAUAGGGGUUCUGAGAGGAAGGUCCCCCACAUUGGUACUGAGACACGGACCAAACUCCUACGGGAGGCAGCAGUGAGGAAUAUUGGUCAAUGGGCGUAAGCCUGAACCAGCCAAGUCGCGUGAGGGAUGAAGGUUCUAUGGAUCGUAAACCUCUUUUAUAAGGGAAUAAAGUGCGGGACGUGUCCCGUUUUGUAUGUACCUUAUGAAUAAGGAUCGGCUAACUCCGUGCCAGCAGCCGCGGUAAUACGGAGGAUCCGAGCGUUAUCCGGAUUUAUUGGGUUUAAAGGGUGCGUAGGCGGCCUUUUAAGUCAGCGGUGAAAGUCUGUGGCUCAACCAUAGAAUUGCCGUUGAAACUGGGAGGCUUGAGUAUGUUUGAGGCAGGCGGAAUGCGUGGUGUAGCGGUGAAAUGCUUAGAUAUCACGCAGAACCCCGAUUGCGAAGGCAGCCUGCCAAGCCAUGACUGACGCUGAUGCACGAAAGCGUGGGGAUCAAACAGGAUUAGAUACCCUGGUAGUCCACGCAGUAAA
rnacentral:rRNA from 1 species